UUAGAGUUUGAUCCUGGCUCAGGAUGAACGCUGGCGGCAUGCCUAAUACAUGCAAGUCGAACGGAGAAGGAAGGUGCUUGCAUCUUCCGGAUCAGUGGCGAACGGGUGAGUAACACGUAGGUAACCUGCCCAUGUACCCGGGACAACGGUUGGAAACGACUGCUAAAACCGGAUAGGCAUAUGGAAGGCAUCUUCGAUAUGUUAAAGGGGCCACGGCCCUGGACAUGGAUGGAUCUGCGGUGCAUUAGCCAGUUGGUGAGGUAACGGCCCACCAAGGCGACGAUGCAUAGCCGACCUGAGAGGGCGAACGGCCACAUUGGGACUGAGACACGGCCCAAACUCCUACGGGAGGCAGCAGUAGGGAAUUUUCGUCAAUGGAUGGAAAUCUGAUCCAGCCAUGCCGCGUGCAGGAAGACGGCCUUAUGGGUUGUAAACUGCUUUUAUACGGGAGCAAUAAGGGUUACGAGUAAUCCGAUGAGGGUACUGUAUGAAUAAGGAUCGGCUAACUCCGUGCCAGCAGCCGCGGUAAUACGGAGGAUCCGAGCGUUAUCCGGAAUUAUUGGGUUUAAAGGGUGCGUAGGCGGCCAUUUAAGUCAGCGGUGAAAUUUUGCAGCUUAACUGUAACAGUGCCGUUGGUACUGUUUGGCUAGGAUUUGGUUGUAGUGUGCGGAAUGUGUGGUGUAGCGGUGAAAUGCUUAGAUAUCACACAGAACACCGAUUGCGAAGGCAGCACACUAAGUCAUUAUUGACGCUGAGGCACGAAAGUGUGGGGAUCAAACAGGAUUAGAUACCCUGGUAGUCCACACUGUAAACGAUGAAACUCGCUGUCGGCCGAUACCCAAUCCGCGGCCAAGCGAAAGCAUUAAGUUAUCCCACCUGGGGAGUACGACCGCAAGGUUGAAACUCAAAGGAAAUGACGGGGGGCCCGCACAAGCGGAGGAACAUGUGGUUUAAUUCGAUGAUACGCGAGGAACCUUACCCGGGCUCGAACGGUGCAUGAAUAUACGAGAGAUUGUAUAGUCCUUCGGGACAUGUAUCGAGGUGCUGCAUGGUUGUCGUCAGCUCGUGCCGUGAGGUGUCGGCUUAAGUGCCAUAACGAGCGCAACCCUUGUCAUUAGUUGCCAUCAGGUCAAGCUGGGGACUUUAAUGAGACUGCCACCGUAAGGUGUGAGGAAGGGGGGGAUGACGUCAAAUCAGCACGGCCCUUAUGUCCGGGGCGACACACGUGUUACAAUGGGAGGUACAGAGGGCAGCUAUCCGGUGACGGAAUGCUAAUCUCCAAAACCUUUCUCAGUUCGGAUUGGAGUCUGCAACUCGACUCCAUGAAGGUGGACUCGCUAGUAAUCGCGCAUCAGCCAUGGCGCGGUGAAUACGUUCCCGGGCCUUGUACACACCGCCCGUCAAG
rnacentral:rRNA from 1 species